rnacentral:rRNA from 1 species
AGAGUUUGAUCCUGGCUCAGGACGAACGCUGGCGGCGUGCCUAAUACAUGCAAGUCGAGCGAAUCACUGGGAGCUUGCUCCCGGUGGUUAGCGGCGGACGGGUGAGUAACACGUGGGCAACCUGCCUGUAAGACUGGGAUAACAUCGGGAAACCGAUGCUAAUACCGGAUAACCCUUUCCCUCUCAUGAGGGGAAGUUGAAAGUCGGUUUCGGCUGACACUUACAGAUGGGCCCGCGGCGCAUUAGCUAGUUGGUGAGGUAACGGCUCACCAAGGCGACGAUGCGUAGCCGACCUGAGAGGGUGAUCGGCCACACUGGGACUGAGACACGGCCCAGACUCCUACGGGAGGCAGCAGUAGGGAAUCUUCCACAAUGGACGAAAGUCUGAUGGAGCAACGCCGCGUGAGCGAUGAAGGCCUUCGGGUCGUAAAGCUCUGUUGUUAGGGAAGAACAAGUACCGGAGUAACUGCCGGUACCUUGACGGUACCUAACCAGAAAGCCACGGCUAACUACGUGCCAGCAGCCGCGGUAAUACGUAGGUGGCAAGCGUUGUCCGGAAUUAUUGGGCGUAAAGCGCGCGCAGGCGGUCCUUUAAGUCUGAUGUGAAAGCCCACGGCUCAACCGUGGAGGGUCAUUGGAAACUGGGGGACUUGAGUGCAGAAGAGGAAAGCGGAAUUCCACGUGUAGCGGUGAAAUGCGUAGAGAUGUGGAGGAACACCAGUGGCGAAGGCGGCUUUCUGGUCUGUAACUGACGCUGAGGCGCGAAAGCGUGGGGAGCAAACAGGAUUAGAUACCCUGGUAGUCCACGCCGUAAACGAUGAGUGCUAAGUGUUAGAGGGUUUCCGCCCUUUAGUGCUGCAGCUAACGCAUUAAGCACUCCGCCUGGGGAGUACGGCCGCAAGGCUGAAACUCAAAGGAAUUGACGG